AUUGAACGCUGGCGGCAUGCUUUACACAUGCAAGUCGAACGGUAACAGGCCGCAAGGUGCUGACGAGUGGCGAACGGGUGAGUAAUGCAUCGGAACGUGCCCAGUCGUGGGGGAUAACUACUCGAAAGAGUAGCUAAUACCGCAUACGAUCUAUGGAUGAAAGCGGGGGACCGUAAGGCCUCGCGCGAUUUGAGCGGCCGAUGUCAGAUUAGGUAGUUGGUGGGGUAAAGGCUCACCAAGCCAACGAUCUGUAGCUGGUCUGAGAGGACGACCAGCCACACUGGGACUGAGACACGGCCCAGACUCCUACGGGAGGCAGCAGUGGGGAAUUUUGGACAAUGGGCGCAAGCCUGAUCCAGCAAUGCCGCGUGCAGGAAGAAGGCCUUCGGGUUGUAAACUGCUUUUGUACGGAAAGAAACGGCUCUGGUUAAUACCCGGGGCUAAUGACGGUACCGUAAGAAUAAGCACCGGCUAACUACGUG
rnacentral:rRNA from 1 species